ACAGCUGGAAGAAAUUAAAAGUAAUUGUUGAAGGAGGUGAAACAGCUUCAGGAACAAACACAAAGUAAUUAUUAUAUUUUAGGGAAAAUGUUUUAACCGGCAGCAGUUUUCUGAUGUUGCAGUUUGAGAUGAAGAGGAGCUGCUCCUGAGACACCACCAUCAUCAUCAUCAUCAUCAUCAUCAUCAUCAUCAAGUCCUCCACAGUAAAACAACACAUCUCUAUGAUCUGAUCUCAUGACAUCAGUGCUGAGCUGAACGCAGAUGAAAGGAGGGCAUCACCUGCUGCUGCGGUCUCUUCGGGGGUCUGGUACA